GGCUGGUCCAAGUGCAAUGAUGUUUGCAACUAAUUGAUCACAAUCAGUUACAGAUUUCUUUGUUCCUUCUCCACUUCCACUGCGUCACUUGACUAGCCUUAA
ensembl:misc_RNA Y_RNA Y RNA